GAUGAAGGAACGUAGCGAAAUGCGAUAAGUAGUGUGAAUUGCAGAAUUCAGUGAAUCAUCGAGUCUUUGAACGCACAUUGCGCCCCCUGGUAUUCCGGGGGGCAUGCCUGUCCGAGCGUCAUUGCUGCCCUCAAGCACGGCUUGUGUGUUGGGCCUCCGUCCUCCUCCCGGGGGACGGGCCCGAAAGGCAGCGGCGGCACCGCGUCCGGUCCUCGAGCGUAUGGGGCUUCGUCACCCGCUCUUGUAGGCCCGGCCGGCGCUUGCCGACACAUCAAUCUUUUUUCCAGGUUGACCUCGGAUCAGGUAGGGAUACCCGCUGAACUUAAGCAUAUCAAUAAGCGGAGGA
rnacentral:misc_RNA from 1 species